CCUACGGGUGGCAGCAGUGAGGAAUAUUGGUCAAUGGACGAGAGUCUGAACCAGCCAAGUAGCGUGAAGGAUGACUGCCCUAUGGGUUGUAAACUUCUUUUAUAUGGGAAUAAAAUGUUCCACGUGUGGGAUUUUGUAUGUACCAUAUGAAUAAGGAUCGGCUAACUCCGUGCCAGCAGCCGCGGUAAUACGGAGGAUCCGAGCGUUAUCCGGAUUUAUUGGGUUUAAAGGGAGCGUAGGUGGAUUGUUAAGUCAGUUGUGAAAGUUUGCGGCUCAACCGUAAAAUUGCAGUUGAAACGGGCAGUCUUGAGUACAGUAGAGGUGGGCGGAAUUCGUGGUGUAGCGGUGAAAUGCUUAGAGAUCACGAAGAACUCCGAUUGCGAAGGCAGUUCACUGGACUGCAACUGACACUGAGGCUCGAAAGUGUGGGUAUCAAACAGGAUUAGAUACCCCAGUAGUC
rnacentral:rRNA from 1 species